AACGAACGCUGGCGGCAUGCCUAACACAUGCAAGUCGAACGAGACCUUCGGGUCUAGUGGCGCACGGGUGCGUAACGCGUGGGAACCUGCCCUUAGGUUCGGAAUAACUCCCCGACAGGGGUGCUAAUACCGGAUAAUGUCUUCGGACCAAAGAUUUAUCGCCUUUGGAUGGGCCCGCGUUGGAUUAGCUAGUUGGUAGGGUAAAAGCCUACCAAGGCGACGAUCCAUAGCUGGUCUGAGAGGAUGAUCAGCCACACUGGGACUGAGACACGGCCCAGACUCCUACGGGAUGCAGCAGUGGGGAAUAUUGCACAAUGGGCGGAAGCCUGAUCCAGCAAUGCCGCGUGAGUGAUGAAGGCCUUAAGGUUGUAAAGCUCUUUUACCCGGGAUGAUAAUGACAGUACCGGGAGAAUAAGCUCCGGCUAACUCCGUG
rnacentral:rRNA from 1 species